rnacentral:misc_RNA from 1 species
AAGGAGUGAUGGAUAACCGUGCAAUGAAUGUUGUUUUACAUAUCCUUGUGGAGUCUAAUGUUACAGAAGCAAACCAAACUACAGGUCCUCAUCCUCUAAAUCCGUCUCUUCUAUCGCAUUUGGUUGGUGCCCACCUAAACUAUCCUCUUCAUGUAUUCAUUGCCAAGAAAUCUGAGGAAAUCUCUGUACAGCCACCCCCUAGAUCCUUUUCUCCCCUGGCAGCUUCUUUACCAUGUGACUUGCAUAUUGUCAACUUCAAGGUUCCUCGUCCUCUCAAGUAUACCCAGCAACAAUUUGAAGAGCCUAGGUUUGCCCUAGUCUUUCAGAGACGACACUGGGAUUCUUCUUACUGUAGAAAGGCCAGGUCAGAAUGUUCAAGUGUAGCUGAUGUGCCCGUUAAUCUGUUUUACAUGUUCAAGAAUCUGGCUGUGUUGAAUGCAAAGGCUACUUCUUUAAAUCUUUUGCAUGAUGACAUAGAGAUACUUGGCUAUGGCGACCACUUUGGAGAUGGAGCUCAUGAUGGGCAUGUCCUCAUUUCACCCAUGGAGGUACAGGCUUACAAGUUGGAGCUAAGGCCCCACUAGUGAAGGUAUAGAUCACUUGUAUAUCCUUUUCCCAACUGAAGCUGAAUUAGGGUGUGCUAGUUCAAGGACUACCGCUGCAACUCUGUUUUCCACAUUACAACUUCAAGAUGUAGUGUAUUUUGGAGAGAUGAAGGUAGAAAUUGUCACAGUUGCGGUUUGCCUAGAGGGUUUUUGACAUUGUCAGUUUGAGGCUUGAGGGCUUGAGAAUUGUUCUAGCUGUAACCACAGCUACUUCAGAACACUUCCAGAGAAGAAGGUUAUGUCACUGAAACUACUGGUGCUAACAGAAGAUCUCAUCUUAUAUGAAGAAGGUUAUGUCACUGAAACUACUGGUGCUAACAGAAGAUCUCAUCUUAUAUGAAGGAGAAGUGCUUUGCACAUGGUUCUCUUCCAAGAAGAUGUUAAAGUAAGUGGGAUUAGAAUGGUUAGGUAAUAUUAUAGGCUUAAGUUAAGGUUGUUAUUAGAAUUUUUGUUACUAUUAAGCUAAUGAUGACACACUGCUAGACAGAUUGUAUGCAAAUGAUGAGUCUUUUUGAAACA